UACAGAGGUCUCAAGCGUUGUUCGGAUUCAUUGGGCGUAAAGGGUGCGUAGGCGGUGUCGUAAGUCGGAUGUGAAAUCCCGGGGCUUAACUUCGGAACUGCAUUCGAUACUGCGAUACUCGAGGACUCGAGAGGAGAUUGGAAUUCACGGUGUAGCAGUGAAAUGCGUAGAUAUCGUGAGGAAGACCAGUGGCGAAGGCGGAUCUCUGGAGAGUUCCUGACGCUGAGGCACGAAGGUCAGGGGAGCAAACGGG
rnacentral:rRNA from 1 species